UACGAAGGGGGGCUAGCGUUGCUCGGAAUGACUGGGCGUAAAGGGCGCGUAGGCGGAUGGCACAGUCAGAUGUGAAAUUCCCGGGCUUAACCUGGGGGCUGCAUUUGAUACGUGUGAUCUAGAGUGAGGAAGAGGGUCGUGGAAUUCCCAGUGUAGAGGUGAAAUUCGUAGAUAUUGGGAAGAACACCGGGUGGCGAAGGCGGCGACCUGGUCCUUGACUGACGCUGAGGCGCGAAAGCGUGGGGAGCAAACAGG
rnacentral:rRNA from 1 species